ensembl:snoRNA
UUCCUGUUGGUUUCUAAGUGUGAUGAUUGAGUUCUCACACUCAUGUGUGACAUGUGCCUUCCUCAUAUCUGUGGUGAUGUCGGCACAUGACCCAUCUGACG